rnacentral:lncRNA from 1 species
AAAUCUUCGCCUUAUAGCUUAAAAGUCGAAUCCAAUCAGAGAAACCAAAAAAACUGUAAACUCCGAGAGUAUCGACAAACUUCACCUCGUCUGGUUGUCGCUUCAAUUGUCUUCAUCGGUUUGAAACCAUAUCCCCCUUCAAUUGAUACGCGAUUGAAACAAAAAAAAACUUCAUGACAUACGACGACGUUUUCAAAUCCGUAGAGGAGAGUAGAAAAAAUAAAUGAAAAAAGAAAAUUCCAAAAAAUCAGCCAAUAGAAUUAUAAGGAUUUUCCUGAGAAGCUCUAUAUGAGUUCCAUGUUAGCAGAAAUCACUAAAGUGACUUCUCUUUUAAUGUAUA